rnacentral:rRNA from 1 species
CCCUAUGGGGUGCAGCAGGCGAGAAAACUUUGCAAUGUGCGAAAGCACGACAAGGUUAAUCCGAGUGGUUUGUGCUAAACAGACCUUUUGUUAGUCCUAGAAACACUAACGAAUAAGGGGUGGGCAAGUUCUGGUGUCAGCCGCCGCGGUAAAACCAGCACCUCAAGUGGUCAGGAUGAUUAUUGGGCCUAAAGCAUCCGUAGCCGGCUCUGUAAGUUUUCGGUUAAAUCUGUAUGCUCAACAUACAGGCUGCCGGGAAUACUGCAGAGCUAGGGAGUGGGAGAGGUAGACGGUACUCGGUAGGAAGGGGUAAAAUCCUUUGAUCUAUUGAUGACCACCUGUGGCGAAGGCGGUCUACCAGAACACGUCCGACGGUGAGGGAUGAAAGCUGGGGGAGCAAACCGGAUUAGAUACCCGGGUAGUCCCAGCUGUAAACUAUGCAAACUCAGUGAUGCAUUGGCUUGUGGCCAAUGCAGUGCUGCAGGGAAGCCGUUAAGUUUGCCGCCUGGGAAGUACGUACGCAAGUAUGAAACUUAAAGGAAUUGGCGGGGGAGCACCACAAGGGGUGAAGCCUGCGGUUCAAUUGGAGUCAACGCCAGAAAUCUUACCCGGAGAGACAGCAGAAUGAAGGUCAAGUUGAAGACUUUACCAGACAAGCUGAGAGGUGGUGCAUGGCC